rnacentral:rRNA from 1 species
GAUGAACGCUAGCGGCAGGCCUAAUACAUGCAAGUCGAACGGUAAUGGCGCCAGCAAUGGCGCCACAAGAGUGACGCACGGGUGCGUAACACGUAUGCAACCUACCCUUUACAGGAGUAUAGCUCGGGGAAACUCGAAUUAACCCUUCAUAGUAUAAAUGAAUGGCAUCAUUUGUUUAUUAAAUCUGAGGAGGUAAAGGAUGGGCAUGCGUCUGAUUAGCUAGUUGGUAGUGUAAUGGACUACCAAGGCGAUGAUCAGUA